AGAGUUUGAUCCUGGCUCAGAUUGAACGCUGGCGGCAUGCCUAACACAUGCAAGUCGAACGGCAGCACAGCAGUAGCAAUACUGUGGGUGGCGAGUGGCGGACGGGUGAGUAAUGCAUCGGGACCUACCUGAACGUGGGGGAUAACGUAGGGAAACUUACGCUAAUACCGCAUACGUCCUACGGGAGAAAGCGGGGGACCUUCGGGCCUCGCGCGGUCAGACGGACCGAUGUUCGAUUAGCUAGUUGGUAGGGUAAUGGCCUACCAAGGCGACGAUCGAUAGCUGGUCUGAGAGGAUGAUCAGCCACACUGGAACUGAGACACGGUCCAGACUCCUACGGGAGGCAGCAGUGGGGAAUAUUGGACAAUGGGCGCAAGCCUGAUCCAGCAAUGCCGCGUGUGUGAAGAAGGCCUUCGGGUUGUAAAGCACUUUUAUCAGGAGCGAAAUACUACCGGUUAAUAACCGGUGGGGCUGACGGUACCUGAGGAAUAAGCACCGGCUAACUUCGUGCCAGCAGCCGCGGUAAUACGAAGGGUGCAAGCGUUAAUCGGAAUUACUGGGCGUAAAGGGUGCGUAGGCGGUUCGUUAAGUCUGUCGUGAAAUCCCCGGGCUCAACCUGGGAAUGGCGAUGGAAACUGGCGAGCUAGAGUGUGUCAGAGGAUGGUGGAAUUCCCCGGUGUAGCGGUGAAAUGCGUAGAGAUCGGGAGGAACAUCAGUGGCGAAGGCGGCCAUCUGGGACAACACUGACGCUGAAGCACGAAAGCGUGGGGGAGCAAACAGGAUUAGAUACCCUGGUAGUC
rnacentral:rRNA from 1 species